rnacentral:rRNA from 1 species
GUGGGGAAUAUUGGACAAUGGGCGCAAGCCUGAUCCAGCCAUGCCGCGUGAGUGAUGAAGGCCUUAGGGUUGUAAAGCUCUUUCAGUAGGGAAGAUAAUGACGGUACCUACAGAAGAAGCCCCGGCUAACUUCGUGCCAGCAGCCGCGGUAAUACGAAGGGGGCUAGCGUUGUUCGGAUUUACUGGGCGUAAAGCGCACGUAGGCGGUUUGUUAAGUCAGGGGUGAAAUCCCGGAGCUCAACUCCGGAACUGCCUUUGAUACUGGCAAGCUAGAGUCCGGAAGAGGUAAGUGGAACUCCUAGUGUAGAGGUGGAAUUCGUAGAUAUUAGGAAGAACACCAGUGGCGAAGGCGGCUUACUGGUCCGGAACUGACGCUGAGGUGCGAAAGCGUGGGGAGCAAACAGGAUUAGAAACCCUUGUAGUCC